rnacentral:rRNA from 1 species
ACGGGAGGCAGCAGUGGGGAAUAUUGCACAAUGGGGGAAACCCUGAUGCAGCGACGCCGCGUGAGUGAAGAAGUAUUUCGGUAUGUAAGGCUCUAUCAGCAGGGAAGAAAAUGACGGUACCUGACUAAGAAGCCCCGGCUAACUACGUGCCAGCAGCCGCGGUAAUACGUAGGGGGCAAGCGUUAUCCGGAUUUACUGGGUGUAAAGGGAGCGUAGACGGCGAGACAAGUCUGAUGUGAAAGGUGGGGGCUCAACCCCCAAACUGCAUUGGAAACUGCCUGGCUGGAGUGCCGGAGAGGUAAGCGGAAUUCCUAGUGUAGCGGUGAAAUGCGUAGAUAUUAGGAGGAACACCAGUGGCGAAGGCGGCUUACUGGACGGUAACUGACGUUGAGGCUCGAAAGCGUGGGGAGCAAACAGGAUUAGAUACCCUGGUA